rnacentral:rRNA from 1 species
AUUGAACGCUGGCGGCAUGCUUUACACAUGCAAGUCGAACGGUAACAGGGAGCUUGCUCCGCUGACGAGUGGCGAACGGGUGAGUAAUGCAUCGGAACAUGCCCAGUCAUGGGGGAGUAACUACGCGAAAGACGUAGCUAAUACCGCAUACGCCCUCGAGGGGGAAAGGUAGGGGAGUCUUAGGACCUCACGUGAUUGGAGUGGCCGAUGUCAGAUUAGCUAGUUGGUGAGGUAAAGGCUCACCAAGGCGACGAUCUGUAGCGGGUCUGAGAGGAUGAUCCGCCACACUGGGACUGAGACACGGCCCAGACUCCUACGGGAGGCAGCAGCGGGGAAUAUUGCGCAAUGGGCGAAAGCCUGACGCAGCCACGCCGCGUGAGCGAUG